UACGGAGGGGGCUAGCGUUGUUCGGAAUUACUGGGCGUAAAGGGCUCGUAGGCGGCCAACUAAGUCAGACGUGAAAUCCCUCGGCUUAACCGGGGAACUGCAUCUGAUACUGGAUGGCUUGAGUUCGGGAGAGGGAUGCGGAAUUCCAGGUGUAGCGGUGAAAUGCGUAGAUAUCUGGAGGAACACCGGUGGCGAAGGCGGCAUCCUGGACCGGCACUGACGCUGAGGAGCGAAAGCCAGGGGAGCAAACGGG
rnacentral:rRNA from 1 species